rnacentral:rRNA from 1 species
UCAGGACGAACGCUGGCGGCGUGCCUAACACAUGCAAGUCGAACGGAGAGCAUAUGAAGUAUUCGGUACGGAAGUGCGUUCUUAGUGGCGAACGGGUGAGUAACACGUGGGCAACCUGCCCCAGACUGGGGGAUAACAUUGUGAAAACAGUGCUAAUACCGCAUGACAGGGUUCCGGGCAUCCGGGACUCUUGAAAAGGAGAAAUCCGGUCAGGGAUGGGCCCGCGUCCAAUUAGCUAGUUGGUGGGGUAACGGCCCACCAAGGCGACGAUUGGUAGCCGAACUGAGAGGUUGAUCGGCCACAUUGGGACUGAGACACGGCCCAGACUCCUACGGGAGGCAGCAGUGGGGAAUAUUGGGCAAUGGGCGAAAGCCCUGACCCAGCGACGCCGCGUGAAGGAUGAAGGUCUUCGGAUUGUAAACUUCUUUGAUCAGGGAAGAAAGAAAUGACGGUACCUGAAAAACAAGCCACGGCUAACUACGUGCCAGCAGCGGC